rnacentral:misc_RNA from 1 species
AGCAGCCGCGGUAAUUCCAGCUCCAAUAGCGUAUAUUAAAGUUGUUGCAGUUAAAAAGCUCGUAGUUGAAUUUCGGGAUCAAUAUGCUGGUCGUGCCAUUGGUACGUACUAGUAUUAUUGGUUUCUCCUUUCUGAUGAAUCAUGAUGUCAUUAAUUUGAUGUCAUGAGGAAUCAGGACUGUUACUUUGAAAAAAUUAGAGUGUUUAAAGCAGGCUCGCGCUUGAAUACAUUAGCAUGGAAUAAUGAAAUAGGAUGUUUGAUUCUAUUUUGUUGGUUUCUAGGAUUGACGUAAUGAUUAAUAGGGAUAGUUGGGGGCAUUAGUAUUCAAUUGUCAGAGGUGAAAUUCUUGGAUUUAUUGAAGACUAACUACUGCGAAAGCAUUUGCCAAGGAUGUUUUCAUUAAUCAAGAACGAAAGUUAGGGGAUCGAAGACGAUCAGAUACCGUCGUAGUCUUAACCAUAAACUAUGCCGACUAGGGAUCGGAUGAUGUUAAAUUUUUUUAAUGACUCAUUCGGCGCCU